rnacentral:tRNA from 4 species
UGUUAGCUCAGUUGGUAGAGCAACUGACUCUUAAUCAGUGGGUCUAGGGUUCGAAUCCCU